UACGUAGGGUGCAGGCGUUAAUCGGAAUUACUGGGCGUAAAGCGUGCGCAGGCGGUUUGCUAAGACCGAUGUGAAAUCCCCGGGCUUAACCUGGGAACUGCAUUGGUGACUGGCAGGCUAGAGUAUGGCAGAGGGGGGUAGAAUUCCACGGUGUAGCAGUGAAAUGCGUAGAGAUGUGGAGGAAUACCGAUGGCGAAGGCAGCCCCCUGGGCCAAUACUGACGCUCAUGCACGAAAGCGUGGGGAGCAAACAGG
rnacentral:rRNA from 1 species